rnacentral:rRNA from 1 species
ACGGCGUCGAGCGGCGGACGGGUGAGUAAUGCCUAGGAAAUUGCCCUGAUGUGGGGGAUAACCAUUGGAAACGAUGGCUAAUACCGCAUGAUGCCUACGGGCCAAAGAGGGGGACCUUCGGGCCUCUCGCGUCAGGAUAUGCCUAGGUGGGAUUAGCUAGUUGGUGAGGUAAGGGCUCACCAAGGCGACGAUCCCUAGCUGGUCUGAGAGGAUGAUCAGCCACACUGGAACUGAGACACGGUCCAGACUCCUACGGGAGGCAGCAGUGGGGAAUAUUGCACAAUGGGCGCAAGCCUGAUGCAGCCAUGCCGCGUGUAUGAAGAAGGCCUUCGGGUUGUAAAGUACUUUCAGUCGUGAGGAAGGCGGUGUCGUUAAUAGCUGCGUUGUUUGACGUUAGCGACAGAAGAAGCACCGGCUAACUCCGUGCCAGCAGCCGCGGUAAUACGGAGGGUGCGAGCGUUAAUCGGAAUUACUGGGCGUAAAGCGCAUGCAGGUGGUUUGUUAAGUCAGAUGUGAAAGCCCGGGGCUCAACCUCGGAAUAGCAUUUGAAACUGGCAGACUAGAGUACUGUAGAGGGGGGUAGAAUUUCAGUGUAGCGGUGAAAUGCGUAGAGAUCUGAAGGAAUACCGGUGGCGAAGGCGGCCCCCUGGACAGAUACUGACACUCAGAUGCGAAAGCGUGGGGGAGCAAACAGGAUUAGAUACCCUGGUAGUCCACGCCGUAAACGAUGUCUACUUGGAGGUUGUGGCCUCGAGCCGUGCUUUCGCAGCUAACGCGUUAAGUAGACCGCCUG